rnacentral:snRNA from 1 species
AUACUUACCUGGCAGGGGAGAUACCAUGAUCACGAAGGUGGUUUUCCCAGGGAGAGGCUUAUCCACUGCACUCCAGAUGUACUGACCCCUGCGAUUUCCCCAAAUGUGGGAAACUCAACUGCAUAAUUUGUGGUAGUGGGGGACUGCAUUUGCACUCUCCCC